rnacentral:rRNA from 1 species
CAAGCGGUGGAUGAUGUGGUUUAAUUCGAUGCAACGCGAAAACCUUACCCACCUUUGACAUGUACGGAAUCCUUUAGAGAUAGAGGAGUGCUCGAAAGAGAGCCGUAACACAGGUGCUGCAUGGCUGUCGUCAGCUCGUGUCGUGAGAUGUUGGGUUAAGUCCCGCAACGAGCGCAACCCUUGUCAUUAGUUGCUACAUUCAGUUGGGCACUCUAAUGAGACUGCCGGUGACAACCGGAGGAAGGUGGGGAUGACGUCAAGUCCUCAUGGCCCUUAUAGGUGGGCUACACACGUCAUACAAUGGAUGGUACAAAGGGUCGCCAACCCGCGAGGGGGAGCCAAUCCCAUAAAGCCAUUCGUAGUCCGGAUCGCAGUCUGCAACUCGACUGCGUGAAGUCGGAAUCGCUAGUAAUCGUGGAUCAGAAUGUCACGGUGAAUACGUUCCCGGGUCUU